rnacentral:rRNA from 1 species
CGAACACUGACGGCGUGCUUAAUACAUGCAAGUCGAACGGGAACGCAUCCUUCGGGGUGUUAGUAUAGUGGCGAACGGGUGAGUAACGCGUAAACAAUCUGCCUUUCAGUUGGGGAUAACCCGUCUAACGACGGGCUAAUACCGAAUAGCAUUAGAUAGUCGCAUGGCUAACUGAUAAAAGGGGCUUGCCUCGCUGGAAGAUGAGUUUGCGUACUAUUAGUUUGUUGGUGAGGUAACGGCUCACCAAGACGAUGAUAGUUAGCCGGCCUGAGAGGGCGAUCGGCCACAUUGGGACUGAGAUACGGCCCAGACUCCUACGGGAGGCAGCAGUAGGGAAUUUUGCGCAAUGGACGAAAGUCUGACGCAGCAACGCCGUGUGAGUGAUGACGGUCUUCGGACUGUAAAGCUCUGUCAGGAGGGAAGAACUUGUCUGGUAACCCCAGGCAUUGACGGUACCUCCAAAGGAAGCUCCGGCUAACUCCGUGCCAGCAGCCGCGGUAAUACGGGGGGAGCUAGUGUUGUUCGGAUUUACUGGGCGUAAAGGGAGCGUAGGCGGAAGAUUAAGUUAGGAGUGAAAUUUCGGGGCUCAACCCUGAACUUGCUUUUGAUACUGGUUUUCUUGAGUAUGGAAGAGGGUGAUGGAAUUCCUGGUGUAGCGGUGGAAUGCGUAGAUAUCAGGAGGAACACCGAUUGCGAAGGCAGUCACCUGGGACAAUACUGACGCUGAGGCUCGAAAGUGUGGGGAGCAAACAGGAUUAGAUACCCUGGUAGUCCGCACUGUAAACGAUGGAUACUAGGUAUUGGGGGAGUCAAUCCCUCCAGUGCCGACGCUAACGCAUUAAGUAUCCCGCCUGGGGAGUACGGUCGCAAGGCUGAAACUCAAAGAAAUUGACGGGGGCCCGCACAAGCGGUGGAGCAUGUGGUUUAAUUCGAUGAUACGCGAAGAACCUUACCUGGGUUUGACAUGGGGGUGACCGGUGCAGAGAUGUACCUUUUUCUUCGGAAACACCCUACACAGGUGCUGCAUGGUUGUCGUCAGCUCGUGUCGUGAGAUGUUGGGUUAAGUCCCGCAACGAGCGCAACCCUUGUCCAGUGUUACCAGCGGAUAAUGCCGGGGACUCACUGGAGACUGCCACAUUUUUGUGGAGGAAGGUGGGGAUGACGUCAAAUCAUCAUGGCCCUUACGCCCAGGGCUACACACGUGCUACAAUGGAUGGUACAGAGGGUUGCAAUACUGCAAAGUGGGGCUAAUCUCAAAAAACCAUUCUCAGUUCGGAUUGGAGUCUGCAAUUCGACUUCAUGAAGUUGGAAUCGCUAGUAAUCGCGGAUCAGCAAUGCCGCGGUGAAUACGUUAUCGGGCCUUGUACACACCGCCCGUCAAGCCAUGAAAGCCGGGAGCACUCGCAGUGGUUGCCUUAACCUUCGGGAGGGCGCCCCUAAAGUGAUACUGGUAAUUGGGGCUAAGUCGAAACAAGGUA